rnacentral:rRNA from 1 species
AUUGAACGCUGGCGGCAGGCCUAACACAUGCAAGUCGAACGAGUGGCGGACGGGUGAGUAAUGUCUGGGAAACUGCCUGAUGGAGGGGGAUAACUAAUGGAAACGGUAGCUAAUACAGCAUACCAUAAGAUGUGCCCAGAUGGGAUUGGCAUGUUGGUGGGGUAACGGCUCACCAAGGCGACGAUACCUAGCUGGUCUGAGAGGAUGACCAGCCACACUGGAAAGGAGGCACGGUCCAGACUCCUACGGGAGGCAGCAGUGGGAGAUAAUGUACAAUGGGCGCAAGCCUGAUGCAGCCAUGCCGCGUGUAUGAAGAAGGCCUUCGGGUUGUAAAGUACUUUCAGCUGGGAGGCGUUACCCGCAGAAGAAGCACCGGCUAACUCCGUGCCAGCAGCCGCGGUAAUAC